GGCGGGACUGACUUAAAGGGCAGCUUCCAGGGUCUGGCACAGGCCAUCAGGCUCAGGUUCUGAAGCUGGCCCGGGAAUUUGUGGUUUUAUGAAGCCCUUAAUGAUUCUCAUGUCCUCUGAGGCUUGAGCCCCUUAGUCCAGCCUUUGAUCAUUUCCACCUUGUUCCUUAGGAUGGAGUGAUGGUGCUCAGCGCAACCCACCGGUACAAGAAGAAGUACGUCACCACCUUGUUAUACAAGCCCAUAUGAAGAGCUGGGGGCGGAUGGUGGCCCAGGAGACAGCACACCACCAGGCUCCACACGUGCAUGCUUUCCCCAAGAGGGAAUGGACUGUACAUUGCUCAUUUCACACUCUUCAGAAGACAUUUCAUACCUGCCCUGGUCCUGCUUGAAGGUUUGUCCAGGCAGAGCAGCUCCUGCAGCGCCUCGGUCUGUGACAGUCCUCCUAGCACCCCCAUGGCUUUGAGCCUCGGGGACUCAUCAAGUCCAAGAAAAGAGGGAGGGGUGGCAGAGGAUCUGCAGCCCUGGCCCCGCGGUGCAUGAGGCUGGGUGCAGUUCUAAACCUACAUUCUCGAUUUUUCUUAAGCCAAAAAUGAAUGCUAACUCCUUUGCCAGUAAAAUUCUGGGAAACAGGGACUGAGGCCACACAUCAUUUCCAGUCAUCUGUGUGUUUUUAAGGCCAGCCACUUGUCCCUGUUGAGGCCUGGCUAUGGAACUAAAUACAGUGUUGGUCUUGCCUGUCCUUCAAAAUCAACAACAGAUUGUCUCUCGGCUCCAGGGAGGUGUCAUUUCUAUAGAAAUUAGAAGCUUUCUGAUUUCUAGAUGAGGUUUUACAAUUGUUUCUUACAGUCAUGUGCACUAAGUACUCUUUUUGUAAGCAGAGGUGGCUGGCUCUGCAGCCUUAAGGCCAUUUUUUAAGUCACCACGUCUAGAAGUCACAUGAACUCUGCUCAGCAAUAAUCUGUUCUCAGAACAGACUUUUCAACCUGCUGCCGGAUUUCUCCAUUCAGCUGGAUGAUCCUCAGGACUGACCAGUUAGCUGGCAGGUUGUCCAGCUUUUUAUUCCAGUCAUAAUAGGUGACAGUGUUAACCGUGAAAACUUGAGAGGCACUCUGCCCUCUUCCCUAUAAAAUCACACAGCGUGAUUUUACAAGGUCCCGUGGCACCUUGCUCAGGACCUCUGCCCCUAGUUAGCAAGACUGCAGCAGUUGCUGUUGCUUAUUCUGAAAGGAAUGUAGAACUUGACAGCAGCCUUCUGAGUCUGGGUCAGGAAGAUGUCCUUUGGACCAAAGCAGACUUCUUUAUACGCAGCUCAGUUUCCCGGGAGUCGCCACAGAUGUACCCACUAGCCCAGGUUGCUGUGAGUCAGCGGAAGCUCCCGUUAUGCCCUUUGCUCCUGGUGGGAGAGGGAGGAGUGAGCUCCCUGGGUUCCAGUAUUUACUUGGUAUACCUGAGUUUGGGGGUACCCUUUUUUGUGACUUUUCAAAACAGUGAAUUACUGUCACCUUGAU
rnacentral:lncRNA from 1 species